rnacentral:rRNA from 1 species
GACGAACGCUGGCGGCGUGCUUAACACAUGCAAGUCGAACGGAAAGGCCCUGCUUUUGUGGGGUGCUCGAGUGGCGAACGGGUGAGUAACACGUGAGUAACCUGCCCUUGACUUUGGGAUAACUUCAGGAAACUGGGGCUAAUACCGGAUAGGAGCUCCUGCUGCAUGGUGGGGGCUGGAAAGUUUCGGCGGUUGGGGAUGGACUCGCGGCUUAUCAGCUUGUUGGUGGGGUAGUGGCUUACCAAGGCUUUGACGGGUAGCCGGCCUGAGAGGGUGACCGGCCACAUUGGGACUGAGAUACGGCCCAGACUCCUACGGGAGGCAGCAGUGGGGAAUAUUGCACAAUGGGCGGAAGCCUGAUGCAGCAACGCCGCGUGCGGGAUGACGGCCUUCGGGUUGUAAACCGCUUUCGCCUGUGACGAAGCGUGAGUGACGGUAAUGGGUAAAGAAGCACCGGCUAACUACGU